rnacentral:rRNA from 1 species
GUCUUUUUGGUUAUUUAAUAUAAAGUCUGACCUGCCCACUGAAAUUAUUUUGAAGGGCCGCAGUAUUUUGACUGUGCAAAGGUAGCAUAAUCAUUAGUCUUUUAAUUGAAGGCUGGUAUGAAUGGUUGGAUGAGGUACAAGCUGUGUCAUAAAAAUUAAUAUUUGAAUUUACCUUUUUAGUCAAAAGGCUAAAAUAAAAUUAAAAGACGAGAAGACCCUAUAGAGCUUUAUAUAAUUUAUAUUUAAAUUAUUAAGAUUUUUUAAAUUUAAUUAUUUUAUUAUAUUUUGUUGGGGUGACAAUAAAAUUUAUAAAACUUUUAUUAUUUAUUUACAUUUGUUUAUGGUUAAAUGAUCCAGUUUUAUUGAUUAUAAAUUUAAGUUACCUUAGGGAUAACAGCGUAAUUUUUUUUGAGAGUUCUUAUCGACAAAAAAGAUUGCGACCUCGAUGUUGGAUUAAGAGUAAUUUUGGGUGUAGAAGUUCAAAGUUUAAGUCUGUUCGACUUUUAAAUUCUUACAU